UUAUCCCCUUUACAAUGAAUGUUAUCUAACACUACACAAAAUAUCGAUCGAUAAUUUUUCAAUAUCGAACGUUUCAAUAUCGCGCCGCAGCUCGAGAUCUCGAAAAUGUGUUUCAAAGUGGGAGAUGGCGCUGCGCCGAAGAAGGAAGGAAGGAAGGAAGAGAGCCACGCGACCGACCCAUACUUGUCACCUGAGUUUUCUCGCGAUAGAACAACGAGAAAUAACAAAGGACGGGGGAGGAGGAGGUCGGAGGAAAGGAGCGCGAAAUCACGCAGAGAAACCGGGAAAAGGCGGGCAGCUUGAACCAAGCCACUACAACGACUGGCUUUCGUUGCAGAAGCAAACUCCCCAUCUGCUCUGUUCGUUGCUGCCCCAACUCCCUGCUGUCAUUAUACGAUUGUGUGUGUGCGAGCACGCCCUUGUCAACGUCGUGUGCAAACGUACAAGGAGGAGCGUGUAUGUCGCAGCUGCAGCUGCUUGCAAGAGCGGAACACUGGGCUUUGGGGAUGGCAACGGUUGUGCACCACCUGGCCUUAGGAAGCCAGCACCGGGCCUCAACAUUGGCGUAGACUUUACUUGAAAUGAAUGACCGGAAAAAAGGGGAAUAGGAGACGAGCAUAAUAGAGCGGCGACUUUCGAAAUUCCGGCACCCUUUUGAAUGAUGGUUACAUUACAUUACACUCAAUCUACGGCAAAUGACGCAACACACAAAUUUCCCUGCUUUACGAGUCGAUAACUUUCACGGAGCAUUACCAUACUUGAUCGCAUCAAUAGUCCGGAGGAUAAUAAGUCUCAACUGAAUUAAGGAUAGUGGGAAUUGUAGCAGAUACUUACAACUGCUUAAUAGAAAUAUUCUAUGUUCACAUAUUCUCGCAUUACCCUUGAAGUAGAAAAUAUUGUAAUCAAUUUUAAAAUUCGUGUACAUUUAUAUCUUUUAUAACAUU